GAUGAACGCUAGCGGGAGGCUUAACACAUGCAAGUCGAGGGGUAUUGUAGCAAUACAUUAGACCGGCGCACGGGUGAGUAACGCGUAUGCAACCUGCCGUUAACCGGGGGAUAGCCCGUCGAAAGGCGGAUUAAUACCCCAUAAUAUUGGGAUUCUGCAUGGGAUUUCAAUUAAAGCUGAGGUGGUUAACGAUGGGCAUGCGUGACAUUAGCUAGUUGGUAGGGUAACGGCCCACCAAGGCUACGAUGUCUAGGGGUUCUGGGAGGAAGGUCCCCCACACUGGUGCUGAGACACGGACCAGACUCCUACGGGAGGCAGCAGUGAGGAAUAUUGGUCAAUGGGCGAGAGCCUGAACCAGCCAUCCCGCGUGCAGGAAGACGGCCCUAUGGGUUGUAAACUGCUUUUGCGCAUGAAGAAUGUUACCGACGUGUCGGUAAGUGACGGUAAUGCGUGAAUAAGCAUCGGCUAACUCCGUGCCAGCCGCCGCCGUAAUAC
rnacentral:rRNA from 1 species